CCUAGAAUUCAGAAAGCAACAAAUAGAACAAUUCCUCUCUCUUGGGACUUCAUUUUCUUGGAUCUGAAUUUUUAAGUCCUGAAGAUUCUGAAAUAUUCCAAAGGAUUAGGAGUUUAAAAUUCUCUCUUCCUCAUGGAGGAAAACCAGGAGAUAUACAAAGAGGUAUCCUGCUAGAGGAUCCCAGGCUAACGAUGGAUUAGGGAAGAACAGAUGAUGUGUCCAAGCGAGGAGGACAUAAGAGAAGCAAGGUGCCAAAUAAAGAAUGAGAGGUCAAAUGUAAUACAAUUUGCUGACUGUAAGGGGGAGAGUUUUUUUCCCCAAAAUGCCAAAGUACAUAAAGAUAAAGGUGAAAGUUUCCUCUCACCAGUUCCAGUGUUAACAGUGAGAGUUCUUGGGCAAGCCCUCCCCAAAUGACCGAAAUGGCCCUCCUGCUACUCCAGGACUACAUUUUACCAGCAUAGUGACAAAGUAAAAAGCAAAUGAUUAGUUCAAGCCAGUGAUGUGAAGUUGUAGACACAGGGUCUCUCUGUGUUGACCAAGCUGAUCUCAAACUCCUGGCCUCAAGCCAUCCUCCCACCUCAGCCUCCCAAAGUGCCGGGAUUGAAGGUACAAGCCCAUCAUGCCCUGCCUUCAGCUCUAUUACUUUGGAAAGAUCAUUUAGCCGGUCUAAAUCCCAAUAUUUUGGUGUUAAAAUGCUAACAACUAUACGGUUGUUAUGAGCACAAUGGCUGGUACAUACUGUAUUCUCAAUAAAUAUUUGUUAAAUGAGUAAAUGAUGUUUGUGAAAUUACUUUGCAAGCUGUGCAGAUAAUCAUACACUCAUGCACUUAACACCACUUGACCCAAUAACAUAUAUUACUGAUUUAUUUUGUGUAUAUUCUACCUUCCCCAACUAAAUGCAAGCUCCAUUAGGGAAGGAUUUUUUUGUCUUUUCUGUUUCAGGUCGUAUCUCCAGAAACUAGAACCGCUCCUUGCACAUACGAGGCACUUAACGAAUAUUUGUUAAAUAACUUUUUGUGUAAGUGCUUGUCACAUGCUAAGCCCUUAAUCAAUGAUAUCCAGUAUUGUUAUUCACCUGUAA
rnacentral:lncRNA from 10 species